rnacentral:tRNA from 1 species
GCGGGGGUCGCCAAGCCUGGUCAAAGGCGCUGGAUUGAGGGUCCAGUCCCGCAGGGGUUCCAGGGUUCAAAUCCCUGCCCCCGCACCA